CACGUAGGGGGCAAGCGUUGUCCGGAUUUAUUGGGCGUAAAGAGCUCGUAGGCGGUUCGGUAAGUCGGGUGUGAAACCUCCAGGCUCAACCUGGAGACGCCACCCGAUACUGCUGUGACUAGAGUCCGGUAGGGGAGCGUGGAAUUCCUGGUGUAGCGGUGAAAUGCGCAGAUAUCAGGAGGAACACCGGAGGCGAAGGCGGAUCACUGGACUGCCACUGACGCUGAGGCGCGAAAGCUAGGGGAGCAAACAGG
rnacentral:rRNA from 1 species